rnacentral:lncRNA from 1 species
CGUAUAGUGUCUAAAUAUAGUGAGAACCUUGUAUCUAUUGAUAUACAAUUUAAGAUGAAAAGAGCUGAAUGUAAAAAGAAAACCAUUAUACUGCAGCAAGCACCAUUAUUGCUGUCUUUAUUAACCAGAUAUAGACAUAUAAACUUUUUUUCUAAAUCUUAAACCACUAAACUAAUUUCAACCCUAAUUAACUUGAUUGUUCCUAAGGUAUUAAUUUAAAGUUUGUGUUUUAUGCCCCCA